UACCGAGGUCUCAAGCGUUGUUCGGAUUCCUUGGGCGUAAAGGGUGCGUAGGUGGCUCGGUAAGUCGGGUGUGAAAUCUUGGAGCUUAACUCCGAAACUGCAUUCGAUACUGCCGUGCUUGAGGACUGGAGAGGAGACUGGAAUUUACGGUGUAGCGGUGAAAUGCGUAGAUAUCGGAAGGAAGACCAGUGGCGAAGGCGGGUCUCUGGACAGUUCCUGACGCUGAAGCACGAAGGCCAGGGGAGCAAACGGG
rnacentral:rRNA from 1 species